UGCGACUACCAUCCUCUUCCAGUCAUGAUCUGCUAAACGACAGGAUGAUGGUCCAGUUCAACCGAUGGAGCCAAACCCGAGUAUAUCGGGUCACAAGUGACAUGAGGAGGGAUGCGAAGCAAGAGAGGCUGGACAAAGUGAGGAACAGCAUCUCCAGGGUCAUGUUUGAAGCAAUUAAUGACGCUGACAGCAGCCAGUCCAGCACUAGUCUUCACACCUCAAACUCAAUGUUUUAGACACGAGCAGGUAACAAAGCUUA